GACGAACGCUGGCGGCGUGCUUAACACAUGCAAGUCGAACGGAAAGGCCCUGCUUUUGUGGGUUUCUCGAUUGGCGCACGCGUGUGUAACACGUGAGUAACCUGCCCUUGACUUUGGGAUAACUUCAGGAAACUGGGGCUAAUACCGGAUAGGAUCUCCUGCUGCAUGUUGGGGGUUGGAAAGUUUCGGCGGUUGUGGCUGGACUCGCUGCUUAUCAGCUUCUUUGUCGGGUUGUUGCUUUCCAAGGUUGUGACGGAUAGCCGGCCUGGGAGGGUGACCGGCGACAAUGGGACUAAGAGAGGGAGCAGAAUGCAACGGGAGGCAGCAGGGGGGAAUAUUGCGCAAUGGGCGGAAGCCUGAUGCAGAAACGCCGCGUGCGGAAUGACGGGCUUCGGGUUGUAAACCGCUUUCGACUGUGACGAAGCGUGAGUGACGGUAAUGGGUAAAGAAGCACCGGCUAACUACGUG
rnacentral:rRNA from 1 species